ACGUUAUUCGGAAUCACUGGGCUUAAAGCGCGUGUAGGCGGGGCGGCACGUCGGCCGUUGAAAUCCCCCGGCUCAACCGGGGAAGUGGCGCCGAUACGACCGCCCUCGAGGGGCGUAGGGGGAGCCGGAACUUCCGGUGGAGCGGUGAAAUGCGUUGAGAUCGGAAGGAACGCCCGUGGCGAAAGCGGGCUCCUGGACGCCUACUGACGCUGAGACGCGAAAGCCA
rnacentral:rRNA from 1 species